UAUGUUCAUUUUUUGGCCCAACAAACAUAAACCGUCUCUGACCUAAUGUUCUUCGGACAAGAGAACGAGAGAGGCGUCCCACAUCCUUCGACGGCGAGAUUCUGACGUUUCCGCUUUCCCUCGCCAAAUGUAACGCUCUGAGUUAAGAUUUCGUGAUUAAUCCACUCAAAUCGCUCCCCCACGAUGUGUAUUCAAAGCAAUCUUCAAGCUCAGAGUCGGUGUGAUCUAUGUAUAAAUAGGGUCCGGCAAGUGUACCUCCGUCGUCGAGGCUAGGCUCCUGCGGUUCUGGGAGGCCAGGAACGUUAAACGCAGUGGGGAGCUCAUGUGGGUCGAUAUGCUUCUGGAUCCGUUGACGUAAGUCUGUUCUUCCUAAUUUUUUUUUUUUUGUAAUUCAACAAUAUUCCGACGAGUUUCCUCGAGCAGGUUAUGUUAUUGUUUCACUUGAGAGAAACUUAUUUGUCUUUGGAGAGUUUAAGGAUUCUCAGAAUCUUUGCAAUUUUAAUACAGUUUUUGAUGAUGAUAUGUAAAGCCAUAACGGUGAAGGCUUCAAUUGCUUUAUAUGUCUUCUGAUUUCAAAAUAAAAUAUUAUUGUCGAUUUUCCAUGAUAUAAAUGGGUAUAUUUUUCCAAGGUAUUUGACAUUUAAGAAGGGUCAUCAGCUACAUUUUGUGAUGCAGCAAUUUGUUCACGUCCUUUCACUGCAGGUUCUUUUUUCUUUGUUAUGGCUGCAAUAAGAAUCUUGAGCCGUUGAAUGACAUCUACUACCUAAGCACAUGUUUGUCUCGACCUUUCUGUUGGUUAUAACACAAUUUCUUUUGUGCAAGGUUGCUAAUUGCCGUCCUAAUAUUCUUUGCUUAUGGCCAUCAAAUCGUGGAUAUGAUAACGGCUUGGUCAAACUCCAGGGAGGUUGUCUGUAAAGAAACAAAUGAAGCUAAAUUGUUGAGAGCAGAAAUUAGUUGCGGCUGGAACCAGCAUUGAUGAAUGUGUGUUGUUAACUCUUACGAUUGAAAACAUGUAGCCCUUUUGUAAAUAAGAAUGGAUGUGUAUGGUUCUAUUGCUGGAAAAGGGAAUACACAAAUAUGUAAGCCAAAUUUCAGUCAUAUGUCGUUCGUGGAGCAAGAUUAAAAUUGUUACAUGAUCACCGGUUAAUAGAAUUUCCAGCUUUAUA